UACGAAGGGGGCUAGCGUUGUUCGGAUUUACUGGGCGUAAAGCGCACGUAGGCGGCUCUUUAAGUCGGGGGUGAAAUCCUGGAGCUUAACUCCAGAACUGCCUUCGAUACUGGAGAGCUCGAGUCCGGGAGAGGUGAGUGGAACUGCGAGUGUAGAGGUGAAAUUCGUAGAUAUUCGCAGGAACACCAGUGGCGAAGGCGGCUCACUGGACCACAACUGACGCUGAGGUGCGAAAGCGUGGGGAGCAAACAGG
rnacentral:rRNA from 1 species